AGUGUUUACGCUAGCCUGAAUUACAUUAUUCGUACGGAAACUUCACGUUGCCACACCCUUCCAUACAAGUGAUUUUUCAGUGAAGCAUUUCUAACGUCGCAUUAACCAUAUAAUAAUAAUAAUACGUUGUAGAUAUAAGUUCUCAGAAUACAUAACUUAAACUCUAAAGUUUACUGCUGCUGUAGAUUGAGUUUUUGUAAUUCUGGAGAAUAAGUCGUCCAAAUAACCUAUGAAAGUACGUGGUGGUUCCUGCCUAGAAAAUUCAGAUGGAAUGGUGGCUUUCACACCAAACACCAGUUCGUGUGAGGUGAACCCAGUGGCUUCAUGUACUGAGGUAUUAUAGGAGAAUAUGCCAAAUCUAAUCCACUCGUCCCAAUAAUUCUUGUUGCAAAAAUGUUUCAGAAAUUAUUCAUGAUUCUGCUCACGAAAUUCGUUCCCUGGUCUGUAUGAAUGGCGCGAGGACAACCAAACCGGCUGAUGAACUGUUCGGCAAGGGCUAUUGCUACAGAUGUGGAAUCAAUAUUAGAAAGUGGAAUGGCAUCUGAGUAUUUUGUAAGGUUGUCCUGGAUAGUAAAGAGCAUUUUAUACCUUUGGCAACUGGGGCAAGUACGUGUAAAAUUAGCGAUUUCCUUGGUCAUGUUUGGCCAAAAGAAAUCUGCUCUAAUUCUUUCAUAAAGUUUAUGGGCACCUUGGUGACCACCUACGGCAGACUCAUGGUACUCUUUUAUAAUGAGAGGCCUAUUUGUUAGAGAUGAGAUGCUGAUAUCUUUUAUAUCUAAAGAAUCCAUGAGAUGUUUAAGGGAGCUUAAAGAAGAUUCAAGGUGAACAGGAUCUACUUGUUCAUUCGAGGAUGCUUUUACCAAAAGAGAAUUUUCCGUGAGUUACAAGGUCUCUACUUGUUUGUGACGUGAUUUCAAAGUCUGUGGAGAAGAAAUGGAUAAAAUUAUCCUUACGCAUAUGAAAAUGGUCCUUUGUAUAGAGGAU